CCUACGGGCGGCAGCAGUGAGGAAUAUUGGUCAAUGGCCGAGAGUCUGAACCAGCCAAGUAGCGUGAAGGAUGACUGCCCUAUGGGUUGUAAACUUCUUUUAUAUGUGAGUAAAAUGUUCCGCGUGUUGGAUUUUGUAUGUACCUUAUGAAUAAGGGUCGGCUAACUCCGUGCCAGCAGCCGCGGUAAUCCGGAGGAUCCGAGCGUUAUCCGGGUUUAUUGGGUUUAAAGGGUGCGUAGGUGGAUUGUUAAGUCAGGUGUGAAAGUUUGCGGCGCAACCGUAAAAUUGCAGUUGAAACUGGCAAUCUUGAGUGCAGUAGAGGUAGGCGGAAUUCGGGGUGUAGCGGUGAAAUGCUUAGAGAUCACGAAGAACGCCGAUUGCGAAGGCAGCCCACUGGACUGCAACUGACGCUGAGGCUCGAAAGUGUGGGUAUCAAACAGGAUUAGAUACCCUAGUAGUC
rnacentral:rRNA from 1 species